rnacentral:lncRNA from 1 species
GGGGCAGAAAAUAGCACACUUUUACUCUACGCAACUGUUGCUUUUUCAUGGACAGUACUACAGAAGGACUAAGUAUAUAGGAAACUUGACUUAUUUAAAUAAGGCAGUGAAAAAAAUAGAAUAUGGGGAGUAAAACAACCUCUGAAGCUAAGUCUGCAUAUAUAAUAACUGGAUCUUCAGGAAUUUUACUGGGAUAAUUAUCCAAAUAAAUUGCAAGCAUUCUAUCCAAAUGGUGAUCUUCUGAGAUAUUUUGAGGGAAAGAGGUAGUAUACCAAAAUGGAAAUACUACGCAAGGAGCUCUUUCUGAGAUGAAGAGAAUUCUCAAUGUCAAGAUUUGAACAAGAAGAGAAUGGAAUACACAAUAUGGACAUCCAUAAAAAUUCAUCAGAGAGCAUUUUACUACUGAGCUGCAAAGAUGACAAGAGCACCUCAAAGGCAGCAGCCUCAAGGAGCAGCCAUGGCCCCAGACUUGUCGCACGGAUGCAGAAAACUUAAUGGAGGAGGCUGAGGUCAGAAUGGGAAGAGUUUUUAAAAAAUAAAAAGGGGAGCUAAUAUGUGAGGAACUGAUUGCUGUGCAUUAUUUUCCACUGAACAGACCUUCUUUUAACUUCUAAUCUCAAGCACAUAGCAGCUGUUGUUUUCAUAUUAAAGAUCAGUAAGUGUUUGUUGAAUGAAUGUAUAAAUUCUUCCCCAAUCUCUGUUCCAUGUAAUAAGAACUAAGUUAGCAUUCAAUUAUAAAGAGGACUUAGAAAGUCUGCAGACAUUUUUGAUCAAAAAUCCUUUUAACUGUCUUCUUAUGGUUCCCGGUAACACCUAAGCCCAAAAAACUCAGGUCAUUUCUUGCCUGUACUGUUGCAAUAGCCUCAUAAUAACUAGUCUUCUCCUUUAUCAACCACAGUCGUCUCCGCUACACAAAGAAGAGAGGGUGCUAAUCUAAAGUGUAAAUUAUUUUAAAUCAGCACCCUUCUUGUAAUUUCCCAGUGGUUUUUCCUGUCAUAAGAAUAACAUGCAAAAUUCCUUGCUUGCAAAGCCAGGUAUGACCUUGCCCCGUCUACCUUACUGGCAUCGUCUCUCAUGACUCUUCCCCUUUUUCACUCUCCAUCUUGCCUUUUCCCAACCAUGCCUGCUAGUGAGCCUUAGCCCUUGUGUUUUCUCUGCCAGGGAUGCAUGACUGGCUUCUUUACUUUAUUCUGAUCUCUCUGCUCAAAUGUCAUCUUUUUAGAGAUAGCUUUCCUAAACAUCUUUAAAAGUACCCCAUGAACUGUG